UGGAUAGUGGGCACUAAAUCUUGUGGAAAAUGUAGUACCUAGAUUUGGGGGUGUCACAGGUAGGUAUCAAAGCCUUAGGUUAUGAACCUUAGGUGGGGGGAAAAGCCUUAGGAAGUAACCUUUGAAAAGAUAGUAAUGAUAAACUCUUAUCGAGUUUUAGGAAAGAGAAAGUAAUAAAACACUUAUGUGCUUAUGUGAUUAUAACUUAUGUGCUCGUGAGUGUCGAGUAGUAAUGAU
rnacentral:lncRNA from 1 species